UCGAGUCUUUGAACGCAAGUUGCGCCCGAGGCCCACCGGCCGAGGGCACGCCCGCCUGGGCGUCAAGCAUCGCGUCGCUCCUUGCCAGGACCAUCCCACGGACGGAUGCGUGCGGGCGGGGAUGCGGGGAGUGGCCCGCCGUGCCGUCGGCGCG
rnacentral:rRNA from 1 species